GGCUAAAAAAACGACAGAAUUCAUAGUCGCAAUACGAUAUUUAUAAUUUAGUAUUUCCAUACACACCCUAAGACUGUAUUUCCAAGCUUCUCCACCUUCUUCAGCGGCUAACCUGUAGAUCCUUUUGCGACAGCAGCAAAUAAUUUUCAAUUAAUUGACGGCACAUCAAUGAAAGGUGUAAAAUCUUCCGACUUUAUGCGAUAGGUCUCAAGAGUGGCAGGCUCUUUGGUAUCUGAAAUGACAACCAGAUGCAAUAUCCUUCAGACACUCUGAUAGCAGCCAUCUUUAUAAAGUUUUCACUAAACAUUCAAUGUUGAAAUAAAUCUUAAAAAAUUAAAAAUACUUGUGUAAACCAAAAAGUACUGUGUAAAACAAUGCAUACCUUAUGCAGCUUUUGGGAUCAUUUUUGCAGUCUGUAUUGCAACGAAACCAAGCUGAUAAAAAUUUGAUAUAAAAUUCUAUAACUUGUGUAACUUUGGUGCCAACAACUAACCCAUCCCAUGGGAGGAGUUUCGAGCUAUUAAAAGCCAAUUUCAAGUGCAGCACAAACCAAAAAGCAGAUUAUUCUCCAAGAUGAUUAACUUCACAAUAAUUGUCAAAUUCUUUAUGCUUGCUGUAAAGUUUGCCAAAAUGGUCAUUGACAACCAUCUU